AUGGCCUCGAUGAACGUUUGUUCUUAUUAUAUUGAUCAAAUGACUUCAACACUUUAGAUCGAUCAUCUUGAUUAUUCUUGGUGUCUGAAAGAUAUCUAAUAUUCUGUUUCUACCCACCCUAAAUGGCUAAAUAUCCAAUUAUUGUUUUACGGUCUCGCAGUAUGAAGAUACAGAGCUUAAUUAAUAUAUUGAUCCAAUGCUUUUCAACAAAAAGUAUUGGUGGAAUUCGAUGAUUACUAAUGUUUACUUAUGUAUACAACUUAUACACACAUACUAUCAAAUUUGAAGCUUUGUUAUGAUACGACGAUAACAUGACUUUGGUAUUUUAUGUAAAAUGUACUUGUAGACGAGAGAACGAUUUGGGAAUUAUGUAUAUAUAGCAUCCUCGGCAGGUUAACAAGUGGACGUAGACACGUGUAUGGGCCCCGUAAUGCUCUUAAGAAGGCCUACUUCGCUCUCAUUUAUCAGCCCACUCUGCUUCCUCCUUUCUAUGUAACUCUUUCUAAAUGGUAGAACCUCUCGUCGUCCAUUAAAAUCAAAGUAGAAAAACCUCUUUGAAGUAAAUAUUUGAAUAGUCAGUUUGAUGAAAAUAACAAAACUAAUUUAAUAGUUAGUGAUUUAUAUAUCAAAGGAAAUUUGUGUAUAUCUUUUGCAUUGGCAAUUAUAGUUACUAAUGAUAUAAAAAAAAUGCAACAAUUGUAGUAUUCACC